rnacentral:rRNA from 1 species
UGGUGGAGUGAUUUGUCUGGUUGAUUCUGUUAACGAACGAGAUCUCCGCCACUACUUAGCUGCCGUUUUCGCAUCUGUAGGUGUCCGUGGAACCUCCGGGUUCCAUGGUGCCGAGAAGGCGGUAGGCAUUUAGUGGGACCAUGCAUGUCCCAAUGCAUUGAAGCGGGAGCCCAAAACA